rnacentral:lncRNA from 1 species
CUUACAUUCAUUUUAUUUGAGUUCCUUCUUCAGGAAAGAACCCCCAGACCUCUCAAAAAGUAUCAAAGAACUGAAACUCACCAGGUAACCACCUCCAGACAAUGAGACCAGACCCCUUAUUCAUUCUGAUUGCUUCUUUCCCUUUCUGAGUUCCUGUUGUCCUAUACACGGUUACGUUUCUUCCUUGCUAGAUAAACCCCUAGUUUUAGUCAGUCAGGGAGAUGGAUUUGAGACAGAGCUCCCCUCUCCUCGGCUGCAACACCCAGUUACAGCUUUCUUCCUCAGCAAUACUUGUCAUCUCAGUGAUUGGCUUUCUGUGCAGAGAGCCGCAGGAUCUAGAUGUUUCCGUAACAGAUAUAUGGGGCACGGAGGAUUCUUAGGGCAGUGUUUCCGUAACAGAUAUAUGGGGCACGGAGGAUUCUUAGGGCAGUGAAACAAUUCUGUAUGAUGCAAAAACGGUGGGGACAAGUCAUUAUACAUUUGUCCAAACCCACAGAAUGUACGACACCAGGAGUGAAUUCCAUUCAAUUCCACUUAAUUUUUCUGGAAACCCAAAACUGCUUUUUUUUUUUUUUUUUUUUUUUUUUUUUUUGGAGACAGAGUCUCACUCUGUCACCCAGGCUGGAGUACAGUGGCACGAUCUUGGCUCACUGCUGCAACCUCUGACUUCCAGGUUCAGGUGAUUCUCCUGCUUCCACCACCAGAGUCCUGCCUCCACCACCAGAGUAGCUGGGAUUACAGGUAUGCGUCUCCACGCCCGGCUAAUUUUUCUGUUUUAGUAGAGAUGAGAUUUCACCAUGUUGGCCAGGCUGGUCUCGAACUCCUGGCCUCAAGUAUUUUGCCCGUCUCAGCCUUCCAAAGUGCUGGGAUUACAGGCAUGAGCCACCACGCCCCGCCAUCAAAAUUGCUUUUUAAAAGUGUGUUAAAUUCAAAAAAAGAAGCUAGAGGAAAGAGGGCAGAGGGUGGCAUUCAGGCAGCAGAAGGGCUGUCCUCAUGGUCCUUGUGGUGAGGGGAUGACCUCCUGCUGAAGGCCAGUCCACUGAGCUGGCACCCACAGAGGGGGACCUGGACUGUUUGCAGCUGAACAGCCUGUAGCCAGGGCUAUCAGAAGGCAGGGAGACCUGGAGUGCAUUGACAGUCACCACACAGGUUUCCAGGAACCUUCCCUCCCUUCCCUGAGUCAGCAUUCAUGCAUACAUUCCUUCCCUUAUUCAUUCAAAAUGUUUCUGGCCAGCCUACCAGGCACCCAGCACAUCAGACCUCUGAUCAUUUGCUCAUAGACUCAUUCAUUCAUUCACUUAAUCACUGUCUCUGUCUAGGCAGAAAGCAAACAUCUAGUCCUGCCAGCCCUAGACAGAAUGAUUUCAAACCCUAAUUAGUACUGUGGGGCUUAAUGAGGUUUCCUGGGAUUCUCAUUAUCAGGGAAAUCAUUUCACAAAAGCUGUCCAUGAUACAGUGGGCAGGGGCACCUCAUGCCAGUAAGGAGCCUCUUCCUGAGAUGAGCAACCGAGGAAACACCAAUUAAGCAAGGAAGCUGUGGAAGGGGAUGCCCCGGGCUUCCCAGAGUGCAGAGCAUGGAUGCUUAGCUGAGGGGUGGGGCUGGAACCUGGCUGCCAAAGCAGUUCUGCCAGCAGGAGCAGGGAUGGCCAGGCAGCAGCACAGGUCACUGCCCCGCAUGGUCAACAUGCAUUGCGGAUUUUAGCUUGCGUUUACGGAUGGCUUCUAGCUACAAAAGACACAGUGGCGCUCAGUUGCUCACCUGUGUAUUUUAAGUAACUAAUUCCUAUUCACACACUCAUUCAUUUAGCCAUUCAUGCAGGUUUCAGAUGUUUAAUGAGCAUCUACUAUGUGCCAAGCAGCUUCAUAAUAAACACACACUUAUUCAUAAAUCCAUGCAUCUGUAGACUUCAGAUGUUCAAAUGUUCAUAGAUGGCUUGGGGCUUGCAGGGACAGAUCUUCCAGUGUCACCAGGAGCCUCUGGGAUAGGCGGGAAACGCUUCCUACAGGGGGUGGGGCGGGGGGCGCAUUUGAGCUCCAUGUGGGGAAGGCCCAGGGCAACUCUAAGCUGAGUGCAGAGUCCCAGGUCCCGAAAAUAGUGAGGCUUCCAGGUCACGAGGUUACACCAGCAUCCAUGACGUCAGCAGGCCAGCGGCGGGCCCUUAGCCAUGGAGGUUCAGAUCGUGUGGGUUGUGGGUCCCACGGUCCCAGAGUCAGCCGGGCGCCCAUUGGCUUGGCCUCAGGAUGCCCAGGGACAUGCCUGGUGCAGCUGGGGCAGCAGGAGCUCACUCUACCAUGAAAUAUUCAUGGCUGCUGGCAAAGCCCGGCCCUAAAAUAUAGUUUGCAGAAGAAAAAGAGCCAUCAGGCAUUUAAUCAUUGUGUUAAUGAGGCUCUAUUUGGAAGCAAACUCCAUCUGACUGCGUCCUAGACAGCAAGAGUCAGGGCCCGGCCAACCUGUGUUGCCGGCCGCAGGGGCAGCCUCAUCCCUGAGACACCAGUGGGAGACACGCCCGGGCAAGGCACAGGCUUGGCUCGAGGCCAUGGCCAGCGGCCCUCCACUUCAGGGGAGCCCAUGAGAUUAUAACGGCAUCCUGAGGUUUGCCAAAAAGCAUCCUUUUAAGCAGAAAGCAAGCAACGGCCCUGCAUGGAGGCGCCACAGAUCCAGUCUGGCUGAGCAGGGGCUAGACCAACUCGUUUUCCCUAAGCAGCUUCCUCGGGGGAACCACUACCCCUCCUGCCUCCAGCUCCCCCUGCUGCCCAGGCCGCCGCCACAGACACUGCAAAUUACCAUCCAGACAAGAUUGCCGGGCCCUUUACAAAGCCUGAAGCAGCUCCUGCAGCCGCCGUCAGCGUCAGCAGCCGCCCUUCUUCGCCAGGUGUGCUGAUUGCAAGUCUCUCUGUGCGGCAGGAGGGGACGUCUCCAAAGGGCAGGCGUCCAGUGGCAGCACCGCAGGCCUGUGGGUGUUCCACCUGCAGAGGCCCCAGAGCAGCCCACGGAGGGCCACGGUGGUAUUAUUCCCAUUUCACAGGGAAGAAGCAAGGUCAGAGCUCUUCCCAGAUGGCUCACUCCCCCUCCCCCGAGUCUUUCCCAGGGCCAAGGCCAUCCCUGGUCACGGAGCCCGCACCGCCUCCUCCCUGCAGCGCCAGGCCCAUGCUGCCCGCCCUUACCCGCUCCUCCCGUCCGGCGCUUGAGAGACGUGGUGUCUGGAAAGUCUGUCCCAUCCCAGCUUCCACAACACCCACUGAGACCCACGCCAACGCGCCCCGCCCACGAGAACCCAGGUCACUCCCGCUUGGUGACUGCGGAAGAACUUUCCGGGUGUCACGUUGGUCCAGUCCCAGGCUGUCCUUCUCUCAACUAAGUUUCCAUCUGGAUUCCAGCCCACCCCCAUGCACGGGACGCAGGAGCUCUGGGUGCCCACCACUCCAUGAAGGGUGAUUGUGGUGAUGUAUUUGACCUUCUGGCAGCAAUUUAAUCAAAUCUGGAAAUCUGGGCCGGCACCUGGUUCGGGACUCAUCCCCUGUUGCUAGGAAACCCAACUCCUGCGGAUCCCACCCUGCUCCAUCCGGAGACAGUGGGAGAGACCCUCCUGCAGCUGAGGCCAGGGCUGGGGAAUGGCUGGAGAUGGAUGGGGACAGCAGUGGCCUUUGCACUGGCUGACUUCACAGCAGAACUCCCACGAGUGCCGAGAAACAGCGUGUAGGGGCGCUGCUCUCCCUACAAGCCCUUCCAGGCGCUGCAGGUCACUUAGAAGCUUGUGGCGCAUCCCUCGGUACCUCUCUCUGCCUGCGCACCAUAAACACCCAGACUACAGGGCCAUACCUGUCUCUUCUUGGUCUCCCCAGCAUCCUGCAGAUUAGUGGCCCUUCAGACACUUUGCACCCCAGUAGGGGGUGGGGAGGCUGGUGGAAAGUGAGCCCUGUGGCUCCUGGAGAAGCGGCGAGCAGCAGGCAGUGUUACACAAGGGUCCUCCCAACCCAGCUGACCUCACCAGGUCAUUCAUGCAAGAAUGCGGGGCCAAUGGGUUUCUGCCAGGCGUGCCAGGGCUGAGGGCACCCCUGGGUCCUCACAGCCCCCACUGUCCAGGGACAGCAGAGUCCUCCUUCCCUUUGCCAUUUCCAUGUUUCUCAUUUCAAUAAUUCUUGCAGCCCAUGUUGUGUAAAUAAAAUUAUUCUUCCCAAAAAAAUCGUUAGCAGAGCCCGACAUUAAUUCCCCUGCAAUCUGUGUAAUUAACUGCAUGUAAUAUAGGGCAUUAAAGGACCGGUUUGCUAAUCACCACUCCUCCGCUCCACGCACCUAAUUAAAUCUCCUUCCUGUUUAUCCACUUACAGGAUCCUCUGCAAAGAUACCAGGCACCAGGAACACUGUUGUAAUAAAUCUUUGCGUAAUUUUAGAGGGUGCAGUCCCACUCUGUUUCAUUCCCACUGCUGAGCCCCUCCUCCCUGCAGCCACGUCUCCCCAUGACUCGGC